rnacentral:rRNA from 1 species
UACGUAGGGGGCUAGCGUUGUCCGGAAUCAUUGGGCGUAAAGCGCGUGUAGGCGGUUUGGUAAGUCCGCUGUGAAAGUCGGGGGCUCAACCCUCGAAUGCCGGUGGAUACUGUCGAACUAGAGUGCGGAAGAGGCGAGUGGAAUUCCUGGUGUAGCGGUGAAAUGCGCAGAUAUCAGGAGGAACACCAAUUGCGAAGGCAGCUCGCUGGGACGUAACUGACGCUGAGACGCGAAAGCGUGGGGAGCAAACAGG